rnacentral:rRNA from 1 species
GACGAACGCUGGCGGCGUGCUUAACACAUGCAAGUCGAACGGAAAGGCCCCUUUGGGGGUCCUCGAGUGGCGAACGGGUGAGUAACACGUGAGUAACCUGCCCUUGACUUCGGGAUAACUUCAGGAAACUGGGGCUAAUACCGGAUAGGAAUCCUUGCUGCAUGGUGGGGGUUGGAAAGCUUCGGCGGUUUUGGAUGGACUCGCUGCUUAUCAGCUUGUUGGUGGGGUAGUGGCUUACCAAGGCUUUGACGGGUAGCCGGCCUGAGAGGGCGACCGGCCACAUUGGGACUGAGAUACGGCCCAGACUCCUACGGGAGGCAGCAGUGGGGAAUAUUGCACAAUGGGCGGAAGCCUGAUGCAGCAACGCCGCGUGCGGGAUGACGGCCUUCGGGUUGUAAACCGCUUUCAGCAGGGGCGAAGCUUGUGGUGACGGUACCUGCAGAAGAAGCACCGGCUAACUACGUG